UACAGAGGUCUCAAGCGUUGUUCGGAUUCAUUGGGCGUAAAGGGUGCGUAGGUGGCGAGGUAAGUCGGAUGUGAAAGCUCGGAGCUCAACUCCGAAAUGGCAUUGGAAACUACCUUGCUCGAGGGUUGGAGGGGGACUGGAAUACUUGGUGUAGCAGUGAAAUGCGUAGAUAUCAAGUGGAACACCAGUGGCGAAGGCGAGUCCCUGGACAACUCCUGACACUGAGGCACGAAAGCUAGGGGAGCAAACAGG
rnacentral:rRNA from 1 species